rnacentral:snRNA from 1 species
GGCGUGCCUCGGCAUCAGC